AUGGAACCGUCUAACAAAGGCGAAUGGAAAUUUACCGGUACACCGUCGUCCAGCAUAAAUAAACGAAUUGAUCUUAAGGUGACCAGUUUUCAUCAGUCUCAGUCACGCGCGAUCUCUUCAGUGAGUUACACACGGUCUUAGUGAAUUAGAGCCGAGCGUUUUAGAGAACAUUCUUUUAACGACCAGUAUCGUACAAUCUACCGUUUUCUCUGUAUUUAUAAUUGCUUUAAAAUAUAUUUGACGGCUUCAAUAUCGAGUAAUCUCGUCAUUAAACUACCACACGUUUUACAACAUGUUCUCUUAACAAACAUUGUGCGUGCCAUGAUGCAUCGAUGUCCUGACUUUUUAUGUGCAGUGUGUAUUCGACCAUUCGCGGGGAGACGCGAUCGCGAGAAAGCACGUCAACGGGAGUCGUAAAUUCGCGUUACGAUUAGAUAAUCGACGCCACGAACUGAUCGAUCCCCUGAUUUCUGUUACGAUAAUAGAGGUGGUUCAAUUGAGUUUACACUGAAUUAACAGGUAUAUUACAGGUUUAUUCGAAUAACCUUGUAAAGAAGAUAAUUACACUAAUGCGUAUGUAUAAGUUAAGUGAGUGAUUGAUUUAAGAGUAGAAACCCGAUAAUGACAUCUUGACUAUUCUAUCCAUGAAGAAUAAGUGAGGUAAAAGUGACGAUGCUGUGUGUCUAACGCAAGGGACCAUCGGAUUUGUUGAUGACAAUUUUGGUCAGGAAAGUGAGGACAGUAGACAUUGCUAAAAGAGGAUUGCAUAAAAGAGGAUUGGUGGAUUAGGAAGGGUCUUAGCCACCCUCGAUAGAAAGUCGCCAGUGUGAAGUAUCGUACGUGAGAAAAACUCUUUUUCAUGUCUCUCCGUAGUAAAUAAUAAGUUUGAGAAACGAUUCAGUAAAACGAUGUUUGUUCGGUCCGAAGGACCUUAGCUAGAAUAUUCCUGUGAUUUAUUGUAGGUUCUUAAGAGUAUUGAGGGUACGCAGUAAGGAGGUGCGGACAUCUGAUUGCCAUCUUGCCCGCAGUGUGUGGCAGUGUAGUGUUCUAAGAGUGCAUUUAUAAUGGAUUCUCUCUGUUAUGUCUUUAGUGGUACUAGGACCAAGUAUUUUCUCAGUUCGUCAUGCAUUGAGAGUAUAAAUUUAUUUAUUUUCUUAGUUUUUGUCAUAGGUCUCAUAAUGUCCAUAGCAAUUUUGUCGUUAGGUUGUAAUGAGGUGUCAGAUAUUAUUGGUUCUUCUUUUUGUCUAAUCCGCCUUAAUUUCUCUUUUUGACAACCUUCACAUUUCUUUAUAAAUUCUUCGACUUUAUUUAGUAAAUCUGGAAUUUUAUAUCGUUCCUUUAUGCUUUGGUAGGUCUUUUGGAUGCCUAAGUAUCCUAUAGUCCCGUUAUGAUUUUCGCUUAUAAUUUGUUCGAUUUCUUCUUGAGUUAGAGUUUGUAUUGGAUUCCAUGCGAAUGUGAUUGGUUUAUAUGUAUCGUUGAAAUAAAGAAGAAUAAACUUAAUUUGACUCUUUUCUAGUUUGAGAAUGCGAUAUCUCCUAUACUUAUCUUUUUGUUUUUCUGUAUUAUUCCGUGGAGUUUCUUAAGCCAUUUUGCUUCUGAGAAUUCUCCUAAUUCGUCUCGGGUAAAUUGGUAGAAGAAAUUAUUUGCUUCCAUUUCUAGUCUUUCGGGUAUGUCAGUAUUCUGUUUCCAUGUAGUAAAGUGUUGAGAAAAAUCUAGAACUCCUCUAUUUUUCUCAACAGCUUCUCCACUUGUUUUUCGAAUAUCCCUUUUAUUUCCGAUAUCAUUGCCUCGAACCCUUUUUCUAUUUCCUCCACAUUUUCCUCAUUAUUUCCAUUCCUCUCUCCCUGGUUGGAGUCCCCUUUUCUGACCAACUGUAUCUAUCCAGCGUAUUCUUGGGCUCUACUUCAUCUUCCGAUUUGCACACAUUCCAUGCUCUUCCUCUGCUUGCUGCUAUCUAUGUUUCUCUACCUUCCUUUGUUUGCCGCGCGUCUUGUUUCCUAACCUCUUCUCCUCUGCCUUCUCUGAUUUGUUUUUUCCUCUCGUUCCUGGCUUCUUUUCACUUUUCUUUCACUUUCCCCUCGUAUGCUCACCCUUUAUUUUCCUUCUUCGUGUCACUUUUUGUUUCAUUCUGCUUUUUUCCUUCACACUUCGCACUUUUUCUAGAGCUCUCCGUACGUGUUACCCUCGCCCCGCACCAAACCGGAAGUCCCGCUUGUUUCUUUUCUUCUGAUUAAUUCUAAUCACUUCUAACGGCCUUUAAUAAUUUCUAACCGCUUUUAAUCGCUUUUGUCUCUAUCCUUGAGGCGCCCUGCCAAGGCGGCCCGCCUUGAUGGCGGGCGGGAGCGUUCCGUUCUCCCAAUGCCGCGGUUCUCUCUCGCAGGCAUUGUCUCCGCUCCGACCUCGAUGAAUAUAUACAGGUGGUCCGAGAGAGACGCAACUCCUUCGGUUACUCUCCAGCCUGAGACCCACCGGAAGCAUUGGGGGUACCCCAUUUGCAAGGAACAAUGAACAUUAAAGUCUCCCAGGACGAGGACCUGACGUGAAAGGUAUCGUCUCACGCAAUCGCCAACCCGGUCCAGGAACUCCUCAAACGCGACCAAGUCACUGUUCGGAGAGACAUAUAGGGCAUACUCCUUGCCCUGCUCGAGCAAGUUCCCUACGGUGAGUGUGCCCGGUGCUGACGUCCACGUCAUAGCGACUAAGACGUCCAGGUCACUGACCCAGUUAGGAGUGUCUAGUAUACGAUAGGGUUCGACUACCACUGUCAGGGCAACCCUGCUCUCCCUUAUCAUCUGGAAGAGCAGAUCUUGUGCCCGCUUCGAUCGCUCCAAGUUGGUGUGGAGGAGCCGCAUGAAUCUACUUUACCAAAUCCAUAUGCAUGGCCGCCCCCCGGCCAUCUACCGCACUCGUGAUCCUUUCUUUCUCUUGCGGUAGAUCUUCCGCGUUGCCACCCUAUCUCCUGUCCGUAGCAGGCUCCCGAAUCCGGCUCGUCCCUUAAUUUUCGGCGGAACGCAUGCCGCCCCUCCCAUUCUGUAGGUGCCAGACGCACCAAGCGACUCACAGUGCGGGCACCUGGGCACGGAGGCAGGGCAACUCUUGGCCUGAUGACCGAUGCCUCCGCACAUGUAGCAUAGCUGCCCCUGGUCUACCGUAGGUCCGUAGGUCACUAUCGCUUGUCCCAGCUCUAAGAAUCGAUAACAUCCAAAGGGCCUCUUUGGGAGGGCUUUGACCCUAGCCAUUGAUCAGCCCGCAAAAAUACCACUUGACUUAGUUUCCGCGCUGCUGCUGUCGGACACCUUACUCAGGCUGGCCCAAGGCCACCUCUGGAGGUCCUGAUGUCUCCUACUCAAACUUCCAGUGCCUUGCAUCCUCCGGCCCUCGCCAGGGUGUCCCGAAGUUCCUCCUUGCCGACCGAUAUGUCGAUCCUAGUUACUCUCAGCUCCUUCGUUCUUGGUCGGAUGCAGGGCUUGUCAACCGUGCUACAAGCGCGGGUGCCUUCUCCCUUUCUUUAUCCGCGGGAACUUCUAGGAUAAUGCUCUCAGUCAUGGCCUUCCUGAUUUUAACUCUUUGAAAAUCGAGCUUGACUAGCGGGACUUUCUGUUUAGCCGUCGCCAGCACUUCGGCAUAUGAUGUUUUCGUCCCAUUGCUCAGCGUUGCGGUCACCGCAGAUGACCGGGGAGGGGGAGGGGGGAGCGGUGCUGACCAAGGUGGUGACCUUGCUGGUCUCAUGCACCUGUUAUCCUGCUGGGGUUCGUUGCGAGGCCCAAGUCGCCUUCGCAGCACCUAGUCUCUUCCCUUCGUCUUUUUCUUAUGCUCGGCCACCAUCCAUUCACCACCCUCUUGCUGGCUCGAGGGCGACGUUAUUUGGGCGGCAUUACCAGCUACCGUGGUUGCCUCCCUCUACCGUGUUUCUGGACUAUGUCGCCAGUCCUGUAGGCGUUCUUAUAUGGCUCUCAUAAGCUCUUCGAAUUUCCUCUCGAAAGCUAAGAGACGCUCCUUCUCCCCCUAUCAUGCUUUUUGGGGUGUCCCAGCUCUAAAAUGGAAGCGUGACACCGUGCACUCUCCUGAUGGGCGCACGCGCCUUUGGGAGGUAUAUAUAUAAUGUAGAGGUUUAACCGCUUAAGGAUAGUGCGAAAUGAUGGGCGCCCGUCCUCCUCCAGACGUCAUAGGCCACUCCAGGUGCCAUAGGCUAACAACUCUUCUACAUCCAAAUUCGCACUUCCCUGCGAAUUGCCUGCCGUGGUGUUUCUUGCAUCUGAUUCGGCGCUUGGAGCCAUGACCCGAUCCAUGCCUGAAUUCUGUGGUUUAUCCACCCUAUUUGUGAUCUUCAUGGAUUUCCUGGUUACCUUUGAUGCAAGCUCCAUUCCUUCCUUCAGAAACUGCUUUUGACUAGUAGUAUUCUCCUCGCAGAACGCGGGACCUUCAACGUGCAGCAGCCUUACGCUCACGUGCUCUCGGGCCGCGCGUGCCACCAGGCGUACCCGGGUGGGGGGGGGGGGCGCUGCCGGCGCCUGUUUUCCUUACUGUUUUGUCGAUAGAACUGAGUUUUUGCAUGCUUUCCUGCCCCAUCCAGUCCUUUCCUCACUAAUUUUCUUGCGCACUGUGCACUCGCGCACUGGCACAACACUCUGGUCCACUUUUUGUCGCUUUUCUUCCGCUCUUCGCUGUUAUCAAGUCUGCAGGACACGGAGGGACGUAAACGCGUCCUCUCUGCCUGCCGCUAUUUUUUUCUCUCUCAAUAGGUUGAUUCCUGCUCCUGUAUCGAUUAUGUGUGUUACAUGUCCAGUUCUUGUGUUAAACUGUAUUAUGAGAAGUUCGCCUGUUGUAGUGUUAACUCUUGGAAUUUCUCUUGGUCAUCCGUCGUUUCGUUUUAAGUUUCUGUUUUUAUGUUGGUUUGAUUCUUUCGCGCUGGCGGGAGAUUUCGUUGGCUGGGUGAUUGAAUAUUUCGGCAUUGAAGUGCAAUCUUUCCACAUUUGAAGCAUUUAGAUUGCACUAGUGGUGUUUAUUCUGCUUUCAUAAAUGUCUUCGUUUCGUUAGGUUUCAUGAUGUUCCCUGUUGAUGGUGCCGGUUUGUUAUAUCUUAGUAGUUGGUGAAACGGUUCGUAGGUAAUCGACUGGGGCCUCCUCUCCAAUCUCUUUGUUCUUCUCGUAGGUGUCGUUUUAUAUUAGUAGCUUUUUGUUCCAGUUCAUCUAGUAAUGUUGGUUCGCUGCCCAAAAGGAUUCGUCUGAUUUCGUGGCGUAGUCCUUUUAGGUAUAUUCGUCCUACUUUUCUCAUUGUAACAUCAAGCAUGAUACGUCUUGUUAAUGGUUGUGGAUUUUCGUUGGUGAUGGCGUAAGUUAAUUUGUUUAAUACGCGUCUGAAUCGAAUAUUAGAUGAUUCCAUUGUUUCAUCGCGUUCUUUCCUUAUGUCGUGUAGCUUUUCGGUAUACUUAUCUGGGGUUACUUGAGUUGCUACGUUGGCUCUUAAUGCUUCGAAAAGGUCUGCGUAAUUGUCGAUUGGAAUAUUACGAAUACUCUGUGCGGCUUAUCCUAUGAUCUUUUCUACUUUAAUAGGUAUCAGCAAUAAUUCUUUUUGUAAACAUUCAUUUUUUAUUUCUCGAACUUCGUUGAUGAAUUCUUCAAUUUCAAUAUCAUCAUCACCGUUCAAGACUGGAAUAUAUCUUAUCGCGUCUUUAGCAGAUAACAAAGGAUAUUGUGCGCUGGCAUUGUUUUGGAGUUGGUCAGCGUCACUGUCGUUAUCUAUCUCUACUUGUGGUGCAAACGGGGUGUGAGUCGAUCUUUGACGUGCAGGGUUUAGAGUGGUAUCAAUGGUAUCGAAGUCUUCCGUUAUUAUCACUUUACUACCUAGUCCUAGCUUCAUUUCAGCUAUUAUUUUUCCUAAGAACUCUAUUUCUUUAGUUAAUUUAGCGCUUUCUUCGUCGGAUUGUUUUGUUAACACGUUUAUUUGAUGGCAUAAUUCCAUUACUUCUCGCGUACUUUCUUCGCGAUGUGUAUUAACACUAGAACUGCCGGCAUUUAAGACGUAGCUAUUUCUACUAGUUAAAAUGACUGGUCUUUAAAAAAUACAUAAUAGUAGAAUAUGUUACGUCGCGUGAGAUGGUCCGUGCGGCGUCCAUCAUUGUCCGAACAUCAAGGCCUAAGCACCAUAAUACGGACCCUCAACAAACCUGAGGCCCCACCAUAAACCGAGUCCUAUUAGUUUGCAGGAACCUUUAAUCCUGCAAGUAUUUUCAAGUAUUUUUAUAGCUGGUACUGAAAACAGUCCUUAGGUUUAUUGCACGUUUUUACAAAUUAAAAAACGGGUAGUUACCUAACGGAAAAGGUGGAUAUAUGUCUAACGGAAAAGCCGGUUUUUCCCAUGAACAAGGUCACCCCGGAGCCACGUCGGUAGGAGGCUUCCUCCUCCAAUCUUCAUUCAUUAAUGUUGUCUCUAACAGUGGUCAUCGCGGAUCGUUACUCCUACUUUCCUGACGAAAAGUGUGAACAACGAAUCCACGUCCUUAGUUCAAAAGACACACCCACAGCGAGCUUUCCUCUGUAAUCACACAAGAACGAACGAACUUGUUCUCAUCACGACAGAGCAGUCACUUCAUCCCUCUAGACUUGUGCUCUAGGCUACAGAGCAGUCACUUCGUAUCUAUACUUAGUCUAUUCAAUUGCUACUUCUGCCACAUCAAGAAAGUCACCUCCGGCUUAUAUUCAACUGUAAGGAUCUUACUCUACUUCAAAAGAGCAUUGUGGUCAUAUAUCGGGGCCUUAUACGUCAAAGUAUCGUCUCCGACAUUUAUAUCACACGUGAUGGUGUAACUAUUUAGUGUAUUAAGUUAUUGGAAAUAUAAAUUUUAUAACCCUGUUAAUCGCAGUUUUAUAUCACAACAAUCACCUCCAUUAUCCCACAAGAAAUAAGGGGGUCGAUCUAUUCGCGGUGUCCAUUCUUAUAAUCGUAACGGGAAUUUACGACUCCCGUUGACGCUUUUUCUCGCGACCGCGUCUCCCCAAGAAAGAUCGAAAAUACAUGGACCUUCGAGCCAGAUCACGUGCCAUUGAAAAGUGCACUUACCAGUGACCAUAUAGUGUCACGUGAAUAAAAUUCCUUCGAUUUAAUCACCUAACCAAAGGAGCAGCCAUAGGAAAAGAACUUCUCCCUCGCUAAGCAUAUACGCGACCCCACACCGCACAGUAACGAGUAGCAACCGAUUCCCGGACCAACGUCCAGUUCUUCAAGGUAAGAUGUGACAACUUGUCCCAUGAGGCUUCGGGAAACUCCUUCCGCAAUGUAUACAUUCCCACCGAUUGCGGGCAUCCACAUGAUGUAGGCUAAGGUGCUUGUCCAAGUCGCCCAACAUCAUAAAGGAAAGGUGGACAUCCCUUUUCUCGCAAACCGGACAAGCAACGCUGUCUCCCAUUAACGGCACCAUUAUUUUGAAGCUCAAGUCCAGGGACAUAGCCAAGUCAUCAACUAUGGUCCGCUCCGAAGCGGAUGAAUCCGCUACAGCGCUUCCGGGACCGAGAAGCACUGCGUCCGAGGUGUUUCAAUCCCUUUCUUCAUUCCCUAAAAAACCGUUAGAUCGGCAAACCGAUUUAUUAUUUGAAUUAUAACUUCGUCUUGCGCUACUUCGUCGCCAGAGCGUUUAUCCGGGCGGAUGAAAGGAUAAACUUUAUGUGUAGAAGACGUCAUGCUCAGCCCGAAACCCUGGGGCACAUUUUAGGACUGUAUCAACACAAAAAAAGGAGUAAGAAACAAGAGGCAUAACAAGGAAAUGGAGUAGUUCUCAUUCCGAAGCCGUCUAGAGAGAGAGAAAAGAAGGGGAACGGACCACCCAAAUAUAAACAAUAAAAUAUGGACGGUAGAAGAGGUAACCCUCCUGAAGGAGCUUGAUCAAGUUUAUAAUGAUCACAAAUAUCGAAAUCUGGAAAUAAGUAAAGUCCUUACCAGUAAAACAAUAGAACAAAUUAAGAGCAAAAGGAAAAAGUUGAAGGUAAGUAAUGAGGAAGCGAGCACUCAGGACAAGAGACAGAGGGAGGGUGCGAUCCUCUUAACUCAGACAAUGCACUAGCACGGGAAGUGAUUGAUGAUAUAAGCGAAGAAUCGAUUUGUGAAUGGCGGCGUAGUCUGAAGAAUGAAAUAGAAAAAACUUGCGAAGCCUCCCCUCCUACGCGAGGAAUAUAGAAUACAUUGAAGAAAGUGUGGGAUGAAUUUAACGGCAAUAAUGAGAUUUUAGCGGUUAAAAUUAUUGAAUUUAUCGGCAUGUCUCUAUAGGGAGCGUUAAUGAGAAACAACACAAAA